CCAAGAUGUUGUGUUCCUAUGCGUGGUGGACCUAGUGGCCUCUGAUCAGUGAAGAGUGCUCCUUCCUCAGCUGCAGCCUUUACCAUCUAUGCCCUCGUAACUUUGUUGGAUGCCCAGUCAUCUUCAUCUCCUUCUUCAGAGGCAGCACUGGGGAUUGAGGUUUGAGACAAGGUUCCUUAUCCCUGUGAAUUAAAGACAUUGAAUGAAUAUACCUCGAGCCCCGGCCAACUUGCAGAAGGAGAUCCUUCAACUCUGCUUCUUUAAAGUAACUCGUGAUUCG
rnacentral:lncRNA from 1 species